AUUGAACGCUGGCGGCAGGCCUAACACAUGCAAGUCGAACGGUAACAGGAAGAAGCUUGCUUCUUUGCUGACGAGUGGCGGACGGGUGAGUAAUGUCUGGGAAACUGCCUGAUGGAGGGGGAUAACUACUGGAAACGGUAGCUAAUACCGCAUAAUGUCGCAAGACCAAAGAGGGGGACCUUCGGGCCUCUUGCCAUCGGAUGUGCCCAGAUGGGAUUAGCUAGUAGGUGGGGUAACGGCUCACCUAGGCGACGAUCCCUAGCUGGUCUGAGAGGAUGACCAGCCACACUGGAACUGAGACACGGUCCAGACUCCUACGGGAGGCAGCAGUGGGGAAUAUUGCACAAUGGGCGCAAGCCUGAUGCAGCUAUGCCGCGUGUAUGAAGAAGGCCUUCGGGUUGUAAAGUACUUUCAGCGGGGAGGGAGGGAGUAAAGUUAAUACCUUUGCUCAUUGACGUUACCCGCAGAAGAAGCACCGGCUAACUCCGUG
rnacentral:rRNA from 1 species